UUAAGCAAAGAAGAGCGCAGGGUGGAUGCCUUGGCACUAAGAGCCGAAGAAAGACGUGAUAAGCUGCGAAAAGCUGCGGGGAGAUGCAAAUAAUCCUUGAUCCGCAGAUGUCUGAAUGGGGAAACCCGGUACGAAGAACUCGUAUCAUCCAUACGCCAAUCCAUAACGUAUGGAGGGGAACCCGGUGAACUGAAACAUCUAAGUAGCCGGAGGAAGAGAAAGAAACAUCGAUUUUGUUAGUAGCGGCGAGCGAAAGCGAAAGAGGCCAAACCGGAGUGCGUGCACUCCGGGGUUCGGACCGCAUUUAAGAUUCAGUGAUUCUAGCAGAAAGGUUUGGGAAAGCCUGCCGGAGAGGGUGAAAGCCCCGUAAGCGAAAGGAGAACUGACUGAGCGGAAUCCAGAGUACAUCGAGACACGAGAAACCUUGAUGGAAUGAGCGGGGACCACCCCGUAAGCCUAAAUACUCCUUAGUGACCGAUAGCGCAUAGUACUGUGAAGGAAAGGUGAAAAGGACCCCGGGAGGGGAGUGAAAGAGAACCUGAAACCCUGUGUUUACAAGCUGUGGAAGUUCUUUAAAUGAACAACCGCGUACUUUUUGUAGAACGGUCCGGCGAGUUACGCGUGCCGGCAAGGUUAAGCACUUAAGGUGUGGAGCCGAAGAGAAAUCGAGUCUGAACAGGGCGUUCAGUCAGCACGCGUAGACCCGAAACCGGGUGAUCUACCCAUGUCCAGGUUGAAGUUGCCGUAAAAGGCAAUGGAGGACCGAACGCACAUCCGUUGAAAAGGGUGGCGAUGAGGUGUGGGUAGGGGAGAAAUUCCAAUCGAACCCGGAGAUAGCUGGUUCUCCUCGAAAUAGCUUUAGGGCUAGCCUCAUUUUAGUCUUAUGGAGGUAGAGCACUGAAUUUCCGCGGGGGCGUCAAAGCUUACCAAAGAAUAUCAAACUCCGAAUGCCAUGUAGAUGAUGAUCGGGAGUCAGACUGCACGAGAUAAGUUGGGCAGUCAAAAGGGAAAGAGCCCAGACCACCGGCUAAGGUCCCAAAGUGCGUGUUAAGUGGAAAAGGAUGUGGGAUUUCGAAGACAACUAGGAUGUUGGCUCAGAAGCAGCCACACAUUCAAAGAGUGCGUAAUAGCUCACUAGUCGAGAGGUCCUGCGCCGAAAAUGUCCGGGGCUAAAACACACUGCCGAAGCUUUGGAAUUGAAUUAAUUCAAUUGGUAGAGGAGCAUUCUUAAAGGGACGAAGCAGUACCGUAAGGAGCUGUGGACUUUUAAGAAGAGAGAAUGCCGGAAUGAGUAGCGAGAGGAAGGUGGGAAUCCUUCCGGCCGAAUAUCUAAGGUUUCCAGAGUAAAGCUGAUCUGCUCUGGGUAAGUCGGGGCCUAAGGAGAGGUCGAAAGACGUAUCCGAUGGACAACAGGUUUAGAUUCCUGUACCACAUAUAAACAGAACUGUGGGGACGCAUGUGGAAAGCAUAAGCCGGGAAUGGAAAUACCGGUACAAACGGAAGAGGUGUCAGGCUGGCAAAUCCGCCUGGCAAGCCAAAGACGUGAUGUGGAGCGAAAUAAAAGUAGCGAAGUAUGUGAGCCAUGUGCCGAGAAAAGCCGCUAUUGUUUUAUAUGUGCCCGUACCGUAAACCGACACAGGUGGAUGAGGAGAGAAUCCUAAGGCCGGCGGAAGAAGCAUUGUUAAGGAACUCGGCAAAAUGACCCCGUAACUUCGGGAGAAGGGGUGCCCACUUCAGGGUGGGCCGCAGAGAAUAGGCUCAAGCAACUGUUUAGCAAAAACACAGGUCUAUGCGAAACCGAAAGGUGAAGUAUAUGGGCUGACGCCUGCCCGGUGCUGGAAGGUUAAGAGGAGAGGUUAGCGCAAGCGAAGCUUUGAAUUUAAGCCCCAGUAAACGGCGGCCGUAACUAUAACGGUCCUAAGGUAGCGAAAUUCCUUGUCGGGUAAGUUCCGACC
rnacentral:rRNA from 1 species